rnacentral:rRNA from 1 species
UACGUAGGCAGCGAGCGUUGUUCGGAGUUACUGGGUGUAAAGAGUGCGUAGGCGGUUUUCUAAGUUUGGUGUGAAAUCUCCCGGCUUAACUGGGAGGGUGCGCCGAAAACUGGGAGGCUGGAGUAUGGGAGAGGUAAGCGGAAUUCCUGGUGUGGCGGUGAAAUGCGUAGAUAUCAGGAGGAACACCUGCGGUGUAGACGGCUUACUGGACCAUAACUGACGCUGAGGCACGAAAGCGUGGGUAGCAAACAGG